UACGAAGGCGGCAAGCGUUGUUCGGAUUUACUGGGCGUACAGGGAGCGUAGGCGGUUGGGUAAGCCCUCCGUGAAAUCUCCGGGCCUAACCCGGAAAGUGCGGAGGGGACUGCUCGGCUAGAGGAUGGGAGAGGAGCGCGGAAUUCCCGGUGUAGCGGUGAAAUGCGUAGAGAUCGGGAGGAAGGCCGGUGGCGAAGGCGGCGCUCUGGAACAUUUCUGACGCUGAGGCUCGAAAGCGUGGGGAGCAAAUAGG
rnacentral:rRNA from 1 species